GUCAGCACCCCGCUCUAAAGAGACGGGGCAUCAUGCUUCUCUUUUUAGGUAGCUAGUACCCGCCUAAGUCCCUUGAGGGCUACGUUAUCGGCAAGAGUUAAAGUUCCGAGCCUGAGAUGCGUGGCCAGUCUCCGGCUCUAGAA
rnacentral:sRNA from 16 species